AUAGUACAGGGUGAUAUCUGACUAGUGGGUACUGAUGGUACAGGGUGAUAUCUGACUAGUGGGUACUGAUGGUACAGGGUGAUAUCUGACUAGUGGGUACUGAUGGUACAGGGUGAUAUCUGACUAGUGGGUACUGAUGGUACAGGGUGAUAUCUGACUAGUGGGUACUGAUGGUACAGGGUGAUAUCUGACUAGUGGGUACUGAUGGUACAGGGUGAUAUCUGACUAGUGGGUACUGAUGGUACAGGGUGAUAUCUGACUAGUGGGUACUGAUGGUACAGGGUGAUAUCUGACUAGUGGGUACUGAUGGUACAGGGUGAUAUCUGACUAGUGGGUACUGAUGGUACAGGGUGAUAUCUGACUAGUGGGUACUGAUGGUACAGGGUGAUAUCUGACUAGUGGGUACUGAUGGUACAGGGUGAUAUCUGACUAGUGGGUACUGAUGGUACAGGGUGAUAUCUGACUAGUGGGUACUGAUGGUACAGGGUGAUAUCUGACUAGUGGGUACUGAUGGUACAGGGUGAUAUCUGACUAGUGGGUACUGAUGGUACAGGGUGAUAUCUGACUAGUGGGUACUGAUGGUACAGGGUGAUAUCUGACUAGUGGGUACUGAUGGUACAGGGUGAUAUCUGACU